UGGGGAAUUUUGGACAAUGGGCGCAAGCCUGAUCCAGCCAUGCCGCGUGUCUGAAGAAGGACUUCGGGUUGUAAAGGACUUUUGUCAGGGAAGAAAAGGGCGGGGUUAAUACCCCUGUCUGAUGACGGUACCUGAAGAAUAAGCACCGGCUAACUACGUGCCAGCAGCCGCGGUAAUACGUAGGGUGCGAUCGUUAAUAGGAAUUACUGGGCGUAAAGCGGUCGCAGACGGUUACUUAAGCAGGAUGUGCAAUCCCCGGGCUCAACCUGGGAACUGCGUUCUGAACUGGGUGACUAGAGUGUGUCAGAGGGAGGUAGAAUUCCACGUGUAGCAGUGAAAUGCGUAGAGAUGUGGAGGAAUACCGAUGGCGAAGGCAGCCUCCUGGGAUAACACUGACGUUCAUGCCCGAAAGCGUGGGUAGCAAACA
rnacentral:rRNA from 1 species